GUUGGUUAGAGCAGACGGCUCAUAACCGUCCGGUCGUAGGUUCGAGUCCUACAAGGUCCACCACUAUACGGAGGAAU
rnacentral:tRNA from 1 species